rnacentral:rRNA from 1 species
UACGUAGGGCGCAAGCGUUGUCCGGAAUUAUUGGGCGUAAAGAGCUCGUAGGCGGUUUGUUGCGUCGGCUGUGAAAUCCCGAGGCUCAACCUCGGGUCUGCAGUCGAUACGAGCAAACUAGAGUGUUGCAGGGGAGACUGGAAUUCCUGGUGUAGCGGUGAAAUGCGUAGAUAUCAGGAGGAACACCGGUGGCGAAGGCGGCUUGCUGGGCCUUACCUGACGCUGGAGGAGCGAAAGCGUGGGGAGCGAACAGG